CCCCUCCCUAGAGACGCUGUAGGUGUCACGUGUGUCAGGAGGUGGUAGAGAGGAAAGAGGCUGUGUCUACACUAGUGUUCUGACCUAUGAACGUCUGAGCCAUUGGUAACUUAAUAGU
rnacentral:snoRNA from 1 species